UAAUACGGAGGGUGCAAGCGUUAUCCGGAUUUACUGGGUUUAAAGGGUGCGUAGGUGGGCAGGUAAGUCAGUGGUGAAAUCUUCAAGCUUAACUUGGAAACUGCCAUUGAUACUAUUUGUCUUGAAUUAUCUGGAGGUAAGCGGAAUAUGUCAUGUAGCGGUGAAAUGCUUAGAUAUGACAUAGAACACCCAUUGCGAAGGCAGCUUACUACGGAUAUAUUGACACUGAGGCACGAAAGCGUGGGGAUCAAACAGGAUUAGAUACCCUGGUAGUCCACGCCCUAAACGAUGGAUACUCGACAUCAGCGAUACACAGUUGGUGUCUGAGCGAAAGCAUUAAGUAUCCCACCUGGGAAGUACGACCGCAAGGUU
rnacentral:rRNA from 1 species